rnacentral:lncRNA from 1 species
GCUAUUUGUCUAAUGGCUGAUGUACAACAGCAGAUGGCAGACACUCCUGCGGUACCUACAGCACCCACAAGAAUGUGAAGGCC